CGGCUUUGUGCCGGCGCUGCACACUGCCCUCCCCGGACAUCCGUCCCUUUGGCCACCAGUGCUCUUCUGGUUCUGAGAAGGUCACAGGUGCAGUUCCAAGGGUUCCCAUCUAAAUACAGAUGACGAAGACGAGAUCCAACCUAGCAAGGGUUUCUGGAAGUCUGAGCAAAAAUAAAACAAUAGAAAGGUGUUAUAUUCAUCAUACUGUUUCCGGCUGUGUUGAUCUAAACAAAAUAAUACCACUGAGUACAUGAUCGAGUGCCCUGCAGCUGGAAGAGGAGCUGUGCUCACCUGGGAGCUGACCAUGGCAGCCACUCUGUGCUACUGCCACUCUAAGGAACAUCAUCAGAUUCUUCCUUGCAUUUUCACCACACCCUGAAGGAUCUUAUGAAGUACAAGUCUUCUCUAAAAGUCCUGAAAAUACUUGGACUUGUGGAUUAUUUUCUUUUCAGAAAAGAAGGGAAAGCAGCUUUCUUUCAUCUCAUUUCUGCCAAAAACCUGCUAAGACCUGUUCACUUUAACACAUCAGUCAUAUCUUUUAACCUUUUACAUCUGACAGAGUUCUCAGAGAGAAGUCAAAAGUAAUAAUUUAUUUUUCUGUAUAUCCAUGAGUACCUGGUCAUCACCAGACAAUUAAAUUAAGUGCAUAAGUUUUAUUUCUUCUCAUUUUUUUCACCUCUUUUAUGUUUACAGCCCUCCCUGGAAAUCUGUAUUUACUGUUGGAAUGAAGGGUGCCCAAUAUCUCCUUAAAAGUUGUACUGUUUAAAGGCUAGUAGAGAACUCCUUCCUGUCAAUUCUCUUGACUACGAAGGUUGUAAAAUAGGAUGGAUUAGACAAUACUAAAGUAAUUACAAAGCAUUAAACAUUCCUGUUGAGCUAGACUGAAAUCAAAUAUUUAUACACCACUAAAUCAGUUUCUGAUUAUAAAGCUGUUGCCAAAUAGAUUCAAAUGCUAAAGGACAUGAUACUAAAUUAAUUGAAAUUGUACUGUGUUAUUUAUUUAGGCUAGUUAAACCUGUCUACAA